rnacentral:rRNA from 1 species
UUGUGAUGAUGCAAUCUACCCGCGGCUAGACGGAAAGACCCCAUGAACCUUUACUGUAGCUUUGCAUUGGACUUUGAACCAAUCUGUGUAGGAUAGGUGGGAGGCUUUGAAGCGGGAACGCCAGUUCACGUGGAGCCAACCUUGAAAUACCACCCUGGUUUGUUUGAGGUUCUAACCUUGGUCCGUUAUCCGGAUCGGGGACAGUGCAUGGUAGGCAGUUUGACUGGGGCGGUCUCCUCCUAAAGUGUAACGGAG